rnacentral:ncRNA from 2 species
CCUGCGCGCCUCGCUUCAGGUGCCCUUCGCACGAAGGGUGAAACAGGGAAGCCGGUGCGUGCCGCGAUGAUCCGCGACACAAGGCCGGCGCUGCCCCCGCAACGGUAGACGAGUCGCGAAACCGCCGUAAGGCCACUGUGUCCUCGGGACACGGGAAGGCGUGGUUUCGGAAGCCGCCGCAUGGCGCUUCGCUCGUGAGCCCGGAGACCGGCCUGUCGCGAUUUCUGGCG